UUUUUACUCUUCUUUGAACUUCAUGCUCCUUGAACAACUUUUCGUAUGAUAAUUAUUUUAUGAUUUCCAUGGAGAAGAUGGAGUUCGAUAUUUCCGUAAGCAGGUUUGCUCACAAUUUACUUAUGAAACCAUCAGAAGAGCUUCCUUCAGCUUCACAACUCAUUACUGAAAGGAAAGCAAGAAGAUCUUUGGAGUCAGGGAAAUCCUGAUAUUUCACACUUUGGUUUUGCAUGAAGAGUUUGGCUUCAAUCGGCUCAGUGGACUGGCAGGUCAUGCCCUAUUUAACACUCAAGUGCAAUGAAGAGCUGUUAGAAGACAUAUUAACACCCUCAAAUACCUAAAAUCAAUGUUAGUUGGAGAUAUUCAUAGACAUCAACUAAAGGAAUUUUUAAAAAUAAAGACAUUGAACACCAGGUAGUGGUUAUUUCUAUGGUAGCAGCAUAAUGGCAG